ensembl:lncRNA
AAUGGAGGCACAAUUAAGGGGGAAUCAAUUAAUGGGGAAUCAAUCAGUGGGGGCACAAUUAAUGGGGAAUCAAUUAAUGGGCAAUCAAUUAAUGGGGGCCAAACAAUGGGGAACCUAUCAGCCAAUGGGGGCACAAUUAACGGGGAAUCAAUUAACGGGGAAUCGAUUAAUGGGGAAUCAAUCAAUCAAUGGGGUCGCAAUCAAUCAAUGGGGUCACAGCCAAUCAAUGGGGCCGCAAUCAAUGGGGAAUCAAUCAAUGGGGCCACAACCAAUCAAUGGGGUCGCAGUCAAUCAAUGGGGUCACAGUCAACCAAUGGGGCCACAGUCAAUCAAUGGGGCCGCAAUCAAUGGGGCCGCAAUCAAUGGGGUCACAACCAAUCAAUGGGGUCACAAUCAAUGGGGACGCAAUCAAUGGGGAAUCAAUCAAUGGGGUCGCAAUCAAUGGGGAAUCAAUCAAUGGGGUCGCAAUCAAUCAAUGGGGUCGCAAUCAAUGGGGCCACAACCAAUCAAUGGGGCCGCAAUCAAUGGGGUCGCAGUCAAUGGGGCCACAACCAAUCAAUGGGGUCGCAAUCAAUGGGGACGCAAUCAAUGGGGAAUCAAUCAAUGGGGCCACAAUCCAUCAAUGGGGCCACAACCAAUCAAUGGGGUCACAGUCAACCAAUGGGGCCGCAACCAAUCAAUGGGGCCGCAAUCAAUGGGGUUGCAAUCAAUGGGGCCGCAAUCAAUCAAUGGGGUCACAGUCAACCAAUGGGGCCGCAACCAAUCAAUGGGGCCGCAAUCAAUGGGGCCGCAACCAAUCAAUGGGGAAUCAAUCAAUGGGGCCGCAAUCAACCAAUGGGGCCGCAACCAAUCAAUGGGGCCGCAAUCAAUGGGGUCACAAUCAAUCAAUGGGGCCGCAAUCAAUGGGGAAUCAAUCAAUGGGGUCACAACCAAUCAAUGGGGCCACAACCAAUCAAUGGGGCCGCAAUCAAUGGGGCCGCAAUCAAUGGGGUCGCAAUCAAUGGGGUCGCAAUCAAUCAGUGGGGCCGCAAUCAAUGGGGCUGCAAUCAAUGGGGCCGCAACCAAUCAAUGGGGCCGCAAUCAAUGGGGUCACAACCAAUCAAUGGGGUCACAUCCAAUCAAUGGGGCCGCAAUCAAUCAAUGGGGCUGGAAUCAAUAGGGAAUCAGUCAAUGGGGUCGCAAUCAAUCAAUGGGGCCGCAGUCAAUCAAUGGGGCUGCAAUCAAUGGGGCUGCAAUCAAUGGGGCCACAACCAAUCAAUGGGGUCGCAAUCAAUGGGGCCGCAAUCAAUGGGGUCACAACCAAUCAAUGGGGUCACAAUCAAUGGGGUCGCAAUCAAUGGGGUCGCAAUCAAUGGGGCCGCAAUCAAUGGGGUCACAACCAAUCAAUGGGGCCACAAUCAAUGGGGCCACAAUCAAUGGGGCCGCAAUCAAUGGGGUCGCAACCAAUCAAUGGGGCCGCAACCAAUCAAUGGGGCCACAAUCAAUGGGGAAUCAA